GUAGUACUCCCUCUGUCCCAAAAUUCUUGUCUUACAUUUGUUUAGAUACAGAUGUAUCUAACACUAAAAUGUAACUAGAUACAUCUGUACUUAGACAAAUUUAAGACAAGAAUUUUGGGACGGAGGGAGUACAAA
rnacentral:pre_miRNA from 1 species